GGGGAUUUAGCUCAGUGGUUAGAGCGCUUGCCUAGCAAGCACAAGGCCCUGGGUUCGGUCCCCAGCUCCA
rnacentral:tRNA from 1 species